GUUGACUGAUUUGAGAGAGAUAAAAAUGGAAUUCAUAGGUGAUUUAUUAGAUGUGGAUACUAAAAGAAGAAAAGUCAAAGUCAAUACCAAUAUUUCUAAUUUGGGCAACAAGGUCUUCAGCAUAAAGACAAGUACCUUGAAGGAGCUCAAGAAAUAUCUGUGAGAACAGGCUGGUUAUUCUUAUAGAUGUAUAUUUAGAUGCUUCUAAAGACUUGAAGCUUAGUGAGAACAAAGGCCAUUCCCUGUACAUUUGGGUCACUUGCAUAGGAACAG